AAUCGAGGAAAACAAUAAAUUUCUCAAUGUUUUCUUCGAUUGACAACAUAGGAAAGUUAUUACAAAAAAAAAACACCAACUUCAUUAUCUAAGAUAGAUUGCAAGGGCAAAAAAAGAUUUUGUUUAAGACAUAAGAACAUUGAAGAUUUUUUCUGUGUUACAAUCCAUCCCAAAGAAUGAUGUCCAACACUUUGGAGCAUCUACAUAUAAGUAAAGUUUAUGAUAAAAUUUGAUUAACAAGUGCUUUUAUAGUAAAAUAGGACAAUCUAAUCCCUCAACUAUUAAAUAUAAACGAAAGUAUAGAUAAUUAAUUAAAAAAUUUUAAAAUAAAAUAAAAAGAAAUAGAUCACUUUUAAAGAAAUAAAAACAUAAAGGGUUGUUGUUAGGAUUCAAAGCAUGUCGUGAAUUAUUUUUCCCUUCACUUAUAUUUAUAAACCAAAGGAAUAUGUGUUAUUUAUUUAAAAAAGAAUAAAACAUGGCGUGUCUUGGCAUUUUACCUCGGUUUUUGGUUGGGUAAGGUGAAAGCUUUAUCAUGAAAUAUAUUAUUUGUAGUAGUGUAUCCUUAAGAAAGUGUGGGUAGAUAUCACCUUUAUUUGGGACUUCAGGUGGAAGAGGUCUUUCUUCAUUCAUGAGGAACCAAUUGUUGUUGAAUUUCUCUUGGUCAGCCGAUGCCAUAUAUUUUCUCUGGGUAAAGAUAACUAGAUUUGGAAGAUUGCUAUGGAUGAUACUUUCUCGGUGUUCCCUGCUUAUCAUUCUCUUUUGCCUUCUAAUUUUUAAGUCAUUCCUCCUCCACAUACAGGUUUUCUCUUCCUCACAUUUGCAGUAAUUGGGAAACUUCUAAGGUGACUAUUUUCUCUUCGAAGCUUUUCCUUUAUAAUUUUGCUUAUAGGUAUAACUUUUUUAAGAGAGAGGUGAUUGUUGACCCUGGUCUUACAAUGUGUCUUAUUUGUCGUGUUUUUGUCAAGUUCGCUUCUCACAUGUCUGUUACUAGUGACUUAGUUAGUACUGGCUAGUAUAAGAUUCUUAGCUGGUUGGGGUGACAAAUAGUUCAUCCUAGGGAUCCUAGUCUUCUCUUCGACAAUUUUCUUUAUUUAGGUUGCAAGAAAAAGUCUAUGAGAGAUUUCUCUAUGAUUUGGAAAUACUGUAGUCCUGACCAUUUGCAAGAGCCAAAAUGAGAUUAUGUUUUUUUGUUCCACAAUAAACAUGAAAGAAGGGGAUGCGAGAAGUGUUUUUUUUUUUGUAAAUGGGUUUUUGGUAGAUCGGGGGGAACUCUUGCACCUUCAAAGAUUGACUUUAGAAUCAUAUCCUUUGGUUGUCUUUCAUUUGGUGUUAGUGGUCCGACUGACUUGAGCUCUAGCUUAAUACUCCUGUGUAGUUCUUAGAUGGUAGUUUUCUUGGAGUUAGCUUUCGUUGCCUGUUUGUUUUUUGCCAUGUAGCUUUCUCAUCAUAUAUUUGUAUUUGUUUGAUUUUUUCGGUGUAACUUUUGGUAUAUUUUGUGUCGACCAUCUACUCAUUUGUAUUUUGUUUGAGCUUUUUAUCCCUUUUAUCAUUAAUAUUAAUUUUCUUUUUAAAAAAUAAAUAAAU
rnacentral:lncRNA from 1 species